rnacentral:rRNA from 1 species
GAUGAACGCUGGCGGCGUGCCUAAUACAUGCAAGUCGAGCGAACAGACGAGGAGCUUGCUCCUCUGACGUUAGCGGCGGACGGGUGAGUAACACGUGGAUAACCUACCUAUAAGACUGGGAUAACUUCGGGAAACCGGAGCUAAUACCGGAUAAUAUAUUGAACCGCAUGGUUCAAUAGUGAAAGACGGUUUUGCUGUCACUUAUAGAUGGAUCCGCGCCGCAUUAGCUAGUUGGUAAGGUAACGGCUUACCAAGGCGACGAUGCGUAGCCGACCUGAGAGGGUGAGCGGCCACACUGGAACUGAGACACGGUCCAGACUCCUACGGGAGGCAGCAGUAGGGAAUCUUCCGGAAUGGGCGAAAGCCUGACGGAGCAACGCCGCGUGAGUGAUGAAGGUCUUCGGAUCGUAAAACUCUGUUAUUAGGGAAGAACAAAUGUGUAAGUAACUAUGCACGUCUUGACGGUACCUAAUCAGAAAGCCACGGCUAACUACGUG